CGCGGCCUAUCAGCUUGUUGGUGAGGUAACGGCUCACCAAGGCAUCGACGGGUAGCUGGUCUGAGAGGACGAUCAGCCACACUGGGACUGAGACACGGCCCAGACUCCUGCGGGAGGCAGCAGUGGGGAAUCUUGCGCAAUGGGCGAAAGCCUGACGCAGCAACGCCGCGUGGGGGAUGAAGGCUCUCGGGUUGUAAACCCCUUUCAGCAGGGACGAAAUUGACGGUACCUGCAGAAGAAGCCCCGGCCAACUACGUGCCAGCAGCCGCGGUAACACGUAGGGGGCGAGCGUUGUCCGGAAUUAUUGGGCGUAAAGAGCUCGUAGGCGGUUUAGUAAGUCAGAUGUGAAAGGUUGGGGCUCAACCCUAAGACUGCAUCCGAUACUGCUAUGACUAGAGUCCGGUAGAGGAGUGUGGAAUUCCUGGUGUAGCGGUGAAAUGCGCAGAUAUCAGGAGGAACACCGACGGCGAAGGCAGCACUCUGGGCCGGUACUGACGCUGAGGAGCGAAAGCGUGGGUAGCAAACAGGAUUAGAUACCCUGGUAGUCCACGCCGUAAACGUUGGGCACUAGGUGUGGGGCCUUAUCAACGGGUUCCGUGCCGUAGCUAACGCAUUAAGUGCCCCGCCUGGGGAGUACGG
rnacentral:rRNA from 1 species